rnacentral:rRNA from 1 species
CAGCAGCCGCGGUAAUGCGAAGGGGGCUAGCGUUGUUCGGAAUCACUGGGCGUAAAGGGUGCGUAGGCGGGAUCUUAAGUCAGGGGUGAAAUCCCGAGGCUCAACCUCGGAACUGCCUUUGAUACUGGGGUCCUUGAGUCCGGAAGAGGUGAGUGGAACUGCGAGUGUAGAGGUGAAAUUCGUAGAUAUUCGCAAGAACACCGGUGGCGAAGGCGGCUCACUGGUCCGGAACUGACGCUGAGGCACGACAGCGUGGGGAGCAAACAGGAUUAGAUACCCCAGUAGUCCCUGUCUCUUAUAC